rnacentral:rRNA from 1 species
GAUGAACGCUGGCGGCGUGCCUAAUACAUGCAAGUCGAGCGAACAGAUGAGGAGCUUGCUCCUCUGACGUUAGCGGCGGACGGGUGAGUAACACGUGGAUAACCUACCUAUAAGACUGGGAUAACUUCGGGAAACCGGAGCUAAUACCGGAUAAUAUAUUGAACCGCAUGGUUCAAUAGUGAAAGACGGUUUUGCUGUCACUUAUAGAUGGAUCCGCGCCGCAUUAGCUAGUUGGUAAGGUAACGGCUUACCAAGGCAACGAUGCGUAGCCGACCUGAGAGGGUGAUCGGCCACACUGGAACUGAGACACGGUCCAGACUCCUACGGGAGGCAGCAGUAGGGAAUCUUCCGCAAUGGGCGAAAGCUUGACGGAGCAACGCCGCGUGAGUGAUGAAGGUCUUCGGAUCGUAAAACUCUGUUAUUAGGGAAGAACAAAUGUGCAAGUAACUAUGCACGUCUUGACGGUACCUAAUCAGAAAGCCACGGCUAACUACGUG